GACGAACGCUGGCGGCGUGCUUAACACAUGCAAGUCGAACGGAAAGGCCCUGCUUUUGUGGGGUGCUCGAGUGGCGAACGGGUGAGUAACACGUGGGUAACCUGCCCUCGACUUUGGGAUAACUUCAGGAAACUGGGGCUAAUACCGGAUAGGAGCUCCUGCUGCAUGGUGGGGGUUGGAAAGUUUCGGCGGUUGGGGAUGGACUCGCGGCUUAUCAGCUUGUUGGUGGGGUAGUGGCUUACCAAGGCUUUGACGGGUAGCCGGCCUGAGAGGGUGACCGGCCACAUUGGGACUGAGAUACGGCCCAGACUCCUACGGGAGGCAGCAGUGGGGAAUAUUGCACAAUGGGCGGAAGCCUGAUGCAGCAACGCCGCGUGCGGGAUGACGGCCUUCGGGUUGUAAACCGCUUUCGCCUGUGACGAAGCGUGAGUGACGGUAAUGGGUAAAGAAGCACCGGCUAACUACGUG
rnacentral:rRNA from 1 species